rnacentral:rRNA from 1 species
GACGAACGCUGGCGGCGUGCUUAACACAUGCAAGUCGAACGGUGAAGCGCCUUCCUUUUUGGUGGGUGUGGAUGAGUGGCGAACGGGUGAGUAACACGUGAGUAACUUGCCCCCUUCUCCUGGAUAACCGCAUGAAAGUGUGGCUAAUACGGGAUAUUCUGGGUCUGUCGCAUGAUGGGUCUGGGAAAGAUAUUGUUUCGGUGGGGGAUGGGCUCGCGGCCUAUCAGCUUGUUGGUGGGGUGAUGGCCUACCAAGGCGGUGACGGGUAGCCGGCCUGAGAGGGUGGACGGUCACACUGGGACUGAGACACGGCCCAGACUCCUACGGGAGGCAGCAGUGGGGAAUAUUGCACAAUGGGCGCAAGCCUGAUGCAGCGACGCCGCGUGAGGGAUGGAGGCCUUCGGGUUGUGAACCUCUUUCGCCAGUGAAGCAGGCCUGCCUCGUUUGUGGGUGGGUUGACGGUAGCUGGAUAAGAAGCGCCGGCUAACUACGUG